rnacentral:rRNA from 1 species
ACGGAGGGUGCAAGCGUUAUCCGGAUUCACUGGGUUUAAAGGGAGCGUAGGCGGGCUGUUAAGUCCGUGGUGAAAGCCCUCAGCUCAACUGAGGAACUGCCAUGGAUACUAUCAGUCUUGAAUGUCGUUGAGGUUUGCGGAAUGGGUCAUGUAGCGGUGAAAUGCUUAGAUAUGACCCGGAACACCAAUUGCGAAGGCAGCAGGCUAAACGAAUAUUGACGCUGAGGCUCGAAAGCGUGGGGAUCAAACAGGAUUAGAUACCCUCCUAGUCCACGCCCUAAACGAUGAUUACUCGACAUACGUGAUAUGACAAUGUGUGUCUGAGCGAAAGCAUUAAGUAAUCCACCUGGGAAGUACGACCGCAAGGUUG